UACGGGGGGGCAAGCGUUGUUCGGAAUUACUUGGCGUAAAGGGCUCGUAGGCGGCCAACUAAGUCAUACGUGAAAUCCCUCGGCUUAACCGGGGAACUGCGUCUGAUACUGGAUGGCUUGAGUUCGGGAGAGGGAUGCGGAAUUCCAGGUGUAGCGGUGAAAUGCGUAGAUAUCUGGAGGAACACCGGUGGCGAAGGCGGCAUCCUGGACCGAUACUGACGCUGAUGAGCGAAAGCCAGGGGAGCAAACGGG
rnacentral:rRNA from 1 species